UGGAAGACAGGCCACUCGGAAACAUUCUGCUCUGUAGUGCGAUUCUGUUUUCCGGCGUGAACAUAACCAAGGCAUUUCGUAUGUUUGCCAUGAUGAAGGUGCCAACACUGACUUUGUCGCAGUACUUCAGAACACAGAAACAGCACCUCUUUCCUGCCGUGAAUGAUGUCUUCCUGAGCAGACAAGCUGAGCUACUGGACCGGCUCCGCCCAGUGCCCCUGACCCUUGCGGGAGAUGGCAGAUGUGAUUCGCCAGGCCACACAGCCCUCUAUGGCACUUACACACUGCUUGAGACAGUUGCCAAUAGGAUCAUCCACUUUGAAUUGGUCAAGGUAUCUCAUACCAAAUCUUUCUGUAACAGUAUCGUAAACAUUGCAUCAUGCAAUUCAUACUUUUUCGGGUAAUA